rnacentral:rRNA from 1 species
AGAGUUUGAUCAUGGCUCAGGAUGAACGCUGGCGGUAUGCCUAACACAUGCAAGUCGAACGAUGUCUUCGGACAUAGUGGCGGACGGGUGAGUAACGCGUGAGAAUCUGCCUCUAGGAUGGGGAUAACGGUUGGAAACGACCGCUAACACCCAAUAUGCCGUAAGGUGAAAAAUUUAUUGCCUGGAGAGGAGCUCGCGUCUGAUUAGCUAGUUGGUGGGGUAAGAGCUCACCAAGGCUUCGAUCAGUAGCUGGUCUGAGAGGAUGAGCAGCCACACUGGGACUGAGACACGGCCCAGACUCCUACGGGAGGCAGCAGUGGGGAAUUUUCCGCAAUGGGCGAAAGCCUGACGGAGCAAUACCGCGUGAGGGAGGAAUGCCUUUGGGUUGUAAACCUCUUUUCUCAGGGAAGAAGAUCUGACGGUACCUGAGGAAUAAGUAUCGGCUAACUCCGUGCCAGCAGCCGCGGUAAUACGGAGGAUGCAAGCGUUAUCCGGAAUCAUUGGGCGUAAAGCGUCCGCAGGUGGUUUCCAAAGUCUGCUGUUAAAGACUGGAGCUCAACUCCGGAACGGCGGUGGAAACUUGGAAACUAGAGUUCGGUAGGGGUAGCAGGAAUUCCCAGUGUAGCGGUGAAAUGCGUAGAUAUUGGGAAGAACAUCGGUGGCGAAGGCGUGCUACUGGACCGUAACUGACACUCAGGGACGAAAGCUAGGGGAGCGAAAGGGAUUAGAUACCCCUGUAGUCCUAGCUGUAAACGAUGGAAACUAGGUGUGGCUUGUAUCGACCCGAGCCGUGCCGUAGCUAACGCGUUAAGUUUCCCGCCUGGGGAGU